UACGUAGGGGGCAAGCGUUGUCCGGAAUCAUUGGGCGUAAAGAGCGUGUAGGCGGCUCGAUUAGUCCGCUGUAAAAGUCCAGGGCUCAACCCUGGGAUGCCGGUGGAAACUGUCGGGCUAGAGUCCGGGAGAGGCGAGUGGAAUUCCUGGUGUAGCGGUGAAAUGCGCAGAUAUCAGGAGGAACACCAAUGGCGAAGGCAGCUCGCUGGAACGGUACUGACGCUGAGACGCGAAAGCGUGGGGAGCAAACAGG
rnacentral:rRNA from 1 species